rnacentral:sRNA from 15 species
UGACUGGCAGAUUUGGAAUAGGCUGUCUCUUGAUUGUAUUGCUUGAUCCGUUUACGUAUUCUGUUAGUCAGCUGAUUGAUAGUGCGUGCAAUGAGGGGGUUGGAGCACCUAUCUCUUUGGUUGAUUUUACAGAGUAUUCUUUUGACCUUGAUCGCUUUCAGCGUUUGCGAGUCAAGAUGAAGGUUUUGCGGUCCGUACACUGUGUGCUGGUUACUUGAGGCUUGCGAGGCCAAUUCAGCUGCAAUGUAGAUGUUUCUUUCAAGGAUAGCCACUGCAUCGUCUAUGUCGUCGCCGUUGUGAAGUUCAGUCUCCAGAUGAAUUCGCUGUUCAAGUAUCUUCUUUUUUCCAUAUUCAGGUCUCAGGAGGAGUCUAAUGAUUUGCAUGUUGUGGUCUGAACCUAAAUCAUAUGAUGUUUCGAUGUGAAUUAAAUUGUGUCUAAUACCCUUAUAAA